AGGCAUAAGCCACAAAAUCAUGAGAUAUAUAGAAAGGUGUGACAACUCCUACUUGUUGCCUGGGCUACAAUGCAUAUACUUUAGGAAGUAUCUCUGGUCCAAACUCAUAAUCCAAUUAUGCCCCUUAAUCACAUAUUAUGUGUCUUAGGACCUAUUACAGGUUUGCUCAUGUGGGUGCUCGCUAGUGACCAACAUCUUAUCAUGAGAUCAUAGCAUUCUUCUCUUUACUUUUAAAUUUUUGUUUCCAUUUCUUUCUUUUUCCUAUACAAGUGCCAUGCUCUCACCCUUCCUCUAUCAAUGAAAACACACCUCUCAUGUGUACUUACACUCAGCCGAAUUCCAUCUAGCAAUGCUCUUGUCCCGUUCUCAUGAAUGAACGAUUCCUCUCAGUCAAUGGUAUACAAUCCAUCAGAAACUUCAAGAAAACAACCAUGCUCCAUACAACUCAAGAUGUUGGCCUUUUUACUUCCACCAGAAACUUCAAGAAAACAACCAUGAUCCAUACAACUCAAGAUGUUAGCCUUUUUACUUCUCUGACGACCAGCCAACAUUACUUUCCGCCUUCCAAUGUGCAUGCAUACAAUGGAACAACUCAUAAACAUGAAAGAAAUAGAUUGUAAGACACAGAUAUAUUCAACCUAAAAUCUGUUGUGUAUUUCGGAUUUGGACGACCAUUUACCCAUAAUAACAGACGAAUGAUUGAUUGCAAAAGAGCUAUGGAGGAAACUUCACAAGCACCAUACUCAUUAAUUCCACUCACAAGCCUUUUCUCGUAGAAUUUCACAACUUUAUAAGACAUCUUUAAAAACCAGCCAUCAGUAAAUAGAUCUCUCAAUCCAGAAAUGGUAUGCACAUAUUAAACAUUUCACUCCAUUCGGGUCCAUAUUAUGUUUGAAACAAGUCAAAAGGCUUGCCAUUUUCAUUGAAUAAGACGAAGAUUUUAAGAAUCACUCUCGCGGCAUUAUAUUACACAAAUAUUUUGCCCGACAAGGCACCCCGAUGAUGCCUCCGCUUUGAUGUGUCACAAGCACAACGACCGGAGUCGCAUUGUUGCGGAACACCCGAGCAUUUCGCUCAUUCCAAAUUUCCCAAGAGAUAGGAAUAAGGGAAACAAGCGGCCUUCGAGAUUGCGACCUCCCUUAAGUGUUGCUGCGCCACCACUCCUUGACGGAAACCAUGCCUCCCUAGUCCGUAGGAUGAACAUCAUGUAAACCAAGCCAUGUUUUGAUCAUUGCCCAAACUCUGGCUGCAUAUUCUGUAUAAAAGGAUCAAGUAGACAUGGAAGUAUGCUCAUAUAUUGUUGAAUCCUAUAAAACAUUUAAAAGGUAAUCCGCCGCAUUUUAAUAGCACUCUGUUUCUUAAAUAAGUGACAUUUUACUUGCCAGUUUGCAAGGUACAAAUUGAAACAUGAACUAUAGUAAAAACAUAAUCAUAAAGUCAUAAAUAAAUUUAUAGAAUCCCUCUAUCAAUAUUUCUGUAAAAUUUACUGUGUUUAAUGCUACAAAGAAUAGCAACUUGAAUUUCCACGAGGAGAAGUAUAUAUAGUUAUAUACACAUGCAGGUCUGCGCUUUCAAAUUUAGCAAAGCAUGAGCCAAAAUAACUUACGGAGUGGUGCGUUUUUGUUGCUUGUUGGUGUUCUAUGUGUCCCGACCACACUGGCGCUCAAUUCCUGCAGGAGUGCUGAAGACCGAGAGGAGGCGAUUCUGCCAAGCAUAACCUACUGCCCAAGCAGAUGUCAUUUAUUUAUGGAGAAGAGGGUAUUACAUACAAUUUUUUUGCGAGGCAGUUCAAUUUAAUGGGAAAAAUAUACCCUAGACAAGAUGUUGCAAUUGCAAACGCCUCACAUAAUAAAUUAUGUUCUAUAAUGAGAACACAAUCCAAUCCUUGAUGAGAAGACAUUUUUUCAAUGAUUCCCUUGUACCAUCAACAAAUCAAUUUGAAGAACAGAAAAAGUAUAUUAUUGUGAGAGUGCAUAUUGAAAGAAAAACGUGUACGAACUGGAUGAAAUAAUUACCCAUUUAAAUGGACUAAGAAAUAAGCAUAGAGGACUCUGGAGAUUGGAGUCAGCAUACCGAAGAGGAAAUGCAGGAAAUGGAAUACCCCACUGGCCUCACCGAAUAAUAAGUCCCUCGGUUCAUUGAUUCAUCACCUUGAGGUAAAUAUCGUAGCACCGCCUGCUCCUCUUCUUUGAAUCAUUAUUGUUUGUAAACAUAGUCUUUAGCCAUAGUCUGUAGUACUAUGCCAGCCCAUUGAGACCAACACGACACAUAGUCAAAUGUUAUAGUACGCAACUGAGGAUACAUGAGGAAAAUGAAAGGACUUUGCACUUGUGCAUUGGCAAAAAGCUUCCAAGGCAUAAGCCACAAAACCAUGAUAUAUAGAAAGGUGUGACAACUCUCGAGUUUAGUACACCGAAUUUUGAAAAACACUGAAAAAACAUGAUAAAACAAAAUCCAAAAAAUCUAAAAUUUUGAGACAAAAAUAAUUAUCAAAUGCUUGAGCUUCAUGCAAAAUUUGAGCGAAAAAUAACAUCCGAGGAACUCUCACCAUAAAAAACAAAAUCACUGCUCAAAGAGUGCAUAAAACUUUUAAGCAGGACGUAUUGAUCUUUCAUGUUACUUUACCUGGAAAGGGUAAGAACAAACGCACCGCAAACGCAAGAAAAGCAGUCCACAGCCCAUAUUCACUCCUAAAUUAGGAAUCGACAUGAUAGUAUAAGUAGGCCAAAAGUAAGUGUUCUUGUCUCAAAAAGAAUAAACAUCCAGUAGCUAUAGCAAGGAAAGGGGAAAAGGUAUCAUCAGAUAAUUCUUUAGGCCAAAUAGCAGAAUCUUACUUGAUUCAUGAAAUUACACUGCUAGGUGCUUGCAGAAGAAACAAUGGCACAAGGAAAGAUUUGUGUAUGCAUAGCAAGCAAUAGCAAGAGGCAAAAGAAUAAUGAUAAAUAAAUGCUAAAAUAAUAAUCGUUGAGAGGGGGGGGGGAGGGGUUACACUGUAGUUCAAAAUAAUCCAUUCAUUUUAUUAUAAAACCAAAUAUGCAGCAGAAUAAAAAAUUCUACAAGGUGAGUAGUAGUAGAUGAGUUUUCGAAGAAUGGAUAACUUUCCUACCACAAGGACUGCUGAAAAACAGUGCGAAAAUAUUAUAAAGCAUUUCAUCAAGCAUUCCUGUUCAGGUCCUAGGUAUUCUAAAAUCCCUUCUUGCCAUGUAUGUAUUCCUAUACACAUAUAGCCUAAAAUGCUAUAGUUAACAAAAGUCAAGACACUAUAAAAAUAUAUUAAAAAAACUUCAUCAGAAUAGUCUCGGUAUUCAAUUGCUAUCUUCUGAUGACAUCUGGGUCAUUGUAUGUUGAAAUUGCAAACUGACAAUAAUUACACCAUAUGUCCACUGAAUAAGUAACUGCAAGAACUACCCGUUCAUACAUCUCCAUCUGUCCAUAUUCACAAGGAUUUCGCUGUCAUAGAUGUAGAGUAUUUACUAUUUAUAGUGAUUAGUCACACGCACACACCCUAAAAUCCGACACAAGGAUCAACAAAAACACCUUAUCUUCUUUUACUUCCAUCACAUUCCAUUUCUUUUGACAAAAGCUAGCGAGUUCUUGCAGUUUCAAUAACAAGUAGUUCUUGCAGUUUCAAUAACAAGUAGGUAGUUGAAACUCACAUCAAACUAAUGUUCCAACUAUACAAAUAAACAACUAAAAAUGAAAAAAAUGGAGAUGCGUAGCUUGUUCAAAUAAAAAAGUCACAUAAACUAAAUUUUCCUAAUAAAACCUGUUUGUAUAGCUUAUUCUAAUUAAAAUGUUUAAUAUCACGUGAGCAACAUGUUUCAGAAUAAUGAUAAUUAAAUGAAAGCAAUUGGCUAGUUAAUAAGAAAUAUUAGAGCAUUUAGAUCACUACUUUAGUAUUCUAAAUGCUCCUAUAUUUCCUUACAGAGGAUGUACAUACAGUUGCAGGAAGGUAAGUGUGCAUAUACAUGACAAAAGAAGAAAGUGUUCAUGGUCAGGGCUAUGAGAUUAACAUACCAGCUCUAUCAACUGUUAUUUCUAAUUCAGUAAAUUUGGUACAAAGCUUUUAUAAAGUAGCCCUUAGGACAACAAGUAUGAGUUGUCACACUAAAUAACCCCCUUCAUGGUACAUGUGUUGCACAUUUCAUGGGCACCACAGAAUGAGGGUCGAACAAACAAACUACUCACCCUAACACCCCGUCCGCCCGGGAACGGGACGAGAUGGAAUCAUGAGAUUUGAUCUCAUCUCAUUUCCUAUCCAUGUAUACUCGCAAACCACUGCCGGUAGGAUCGCACUGAUUACUGCCAAUUUGUUCCUUCACCCAAAACUUUGUCAAGAACAAACAGUGAUCAAUACUCCCACCCUAGCCAUAACUAAAUAACUAACAAACGAGGUGCAAAACAGAGGAUGGAUUAUUGAAUCAACUUGCUAAUGUAGUUCUUUUUUCAGUACGACCCUUGAGAGCAUUUUAUUCUUUCGAGUGAAACUUAUAGACUUGACAUGAGGAACCUGGACUUGAACUCUUGACACAACUAAUAUAUUAAAUAGCUUCAGAAUAACUGGACACAUACAUGUGUUCAUCUUUUCAGAGUCUCCACACAUACAUGUGCCCAUCUGCUCUGUAGGAUCCUAUGCAAUACACAGAUGUUUCCACUGUCAUGCAUGACACAACUUCAAAAGUGUUUGGCAUGUAUUAUCUGAAAGUCAAACUUACGUCUAUGCAUAUCCUGUAACAUGUAAGUCGAAACCCAAUGUAUCCCAAGGUUUCGGCCUUGCAAUCCCUAUGCAACAUUGCAUCUCCCAUUUGAUGUUGCUACUGCCAUGACAUGACGCGCCUAUAGCGAAAUCUCACCGGGCAUGUGGAAUCCUCGUCCGUGAAAAAUCGUCUCAAGGCUUUCUCCGGCAUAGGAGCUGAGAGGAGAAACCUCGAAGCUUAUGAGGGAAAGGGAUCAUGAGAAAGAUGAUCAUAAAAGUUCUAUGUUGAAAGGCCUGACUUGUAAUUUAAUUCUACAAGUUUCUGGGUACAGGAAAUGGUGAGAAAUUACCCAUCCGCUAUGCAGUUGGAGUAGCAUCAGGUGUCAUAGGUUGUGCCAUUCACGUUCUUCACUGGCGCAAAUUCCUCUUCGUGUAGCACCUGAAUUUUCAGAUAUGCACCUAUGAGUAUCUCAAGGUUUUAAAGCUCACAAAAAACAGGAAAAGAAGAGGGAGCAGAAGAUGCUAUAUUAGGGCAGAUUUUUGAAAGUCGAACCUCAAAAAGUGUCAUGGACAGGGAUUAAAUGGAUAUGUCAAAUAUGAACUGCUCAAGCUUCAGGCCUAUCAUACAUCCAUGAAUCAAAGGUACCUAAAUGCCAUGUGCUGUAACAGAACAUGAUUUAUGCUUGAGCAUGGCAAUUGCCAAGUAAAUUACUUGCCAUGACAUGCCUAGCAGAUCCUUAAAUCACAAACUUUAGCUCUAGAUGUAAUUCCCAUUCUCCUAGGAAAAUUUAAGAAAUACAAGCAUUAAGCAUCAAGUAGGUAAAAUAGUAAUGAUCUACUGUUAAAACCAGAUUAGUUUGGAAGAGACAAACAAAGGAGUGGCCUAAAAAAACAUUGGAUUUGAAGGUGACGAUGCUACUAAUAAUAGAUCCAUUCUGCUUGGAUCUUCAAAAUGUGAGGAAAGGAAACGUGCCUGAGUUUGCUUAUAUCACUCCAAUAAAUCACCUUUGUUCUCACCCCGCACUCUAAGUGCAUAAAACUUUUAAGCAGGACGUAUUGAUCUUUCAUGUUACUUUACCUGGAAAGGGUAAGAACAAACGCACCGCAAAUGCAAGAAAAGCAGUCCACAACCCAUAUUCACUCCUAAAUUAGGAAUCGACAUGAUAGUAUAAGUAGGCCAAAAGUAAGUGGUCUUGUCUCAAAAAGAAUAAACAUCCAGUAGCUAUAGCAAGGAAAGGGGAAAAGGUAU
rnacentral:lncRNA from 1 species